ACCCACAUAUACACAAACACACAUACACACCACACACACACACACCUAUAUACGCACCCGCCCAAAUACACACACACACACCUGCCUACAUGCACACACACACACACCCUUCACUUCCCCGUUCUGCAGACUGCUCCUCUCACCUCACACUUUCACAACCAGGACAGGCAGCUUGCCCUUGAGACUCAGCAACACAGACUGGGAGAGCUCCCCCUCCCUCAUCCCUCACCCCUCACCCCCUCCCUCUUUCCACCACAUCUAGUUCCGGUCCAUCCGUCCAUCCAUUUACUGAGGCCUCCAUGUGCCUCUGGCUCCACAAAUACGGGAAACACCCCAGCGCCUGCUCCCUUGGGGCUGACAGUCCAGAGGGACGACAGACGUUCACAGACAGUUGUGCGAACCCAUGGGUACCAACGGUGAUGCGUGCCCUCGGGGGUCUCAUAAGACGUUUGGCUCCUUUAAUCCUGUCCAUGGGCAGCUAUAUGAUGAUGAUGUGAUAUCUGGAGCAGCAACAGCCAUAUUGCAACCAUGAGGCAACAAGCUUGACUACAAUAGCAGAGAUACUGAACAUACUGAGGUGAAAGAAUACAAGAUCUAAGGAGCUACACUUCGCACCUGGUUUCCUUGGACUCUGUGCUAAACACGUCCCCUAGCUGGUGUUGACCCUUGCAACACCCUGCCCCUUGUUACAUAUCAGAAAGAAGACGGCAGAGCCACCAAGCUGCCAGACUCCAUUACUGGGUUACUGACACCCGCCGAUGACUGCCUUUGAAACAAUGCAAGAGCAAGAAAUCAAGACCCUAUCAUCUUCGCUCCUCAUCACCAACCCCUGCAAGCCCUUGUCUUAUAUAAGCCCCUAUACCCUUCGUGGGGGUUUGGGGGCACAUUCUUGAGGCACAAGCCUACUGCGUUCCCCUCUCUGCCAGCUGAGAAUAAAAGCCCCCUUUCUAUUUCCUCCAAACUGUCUUCACAUUUUUUCAUUUGGCUUCACUGGGCCGAGAAGGCCAAGUUUUGGCCGGCAACAGUUUUCUCUCGAGAAGGGAAGUAACUCCUUUCCUUGAGGUUUUGUUUCUCCUC